GACCGCGUAGCUCAGUUGGAAGAGCAUUGGACUAGUAUUCCAAAGGUCGUAGGUUCGAAUGCCAUGACCGUGGCCG